UACGGAAGGGGCGAGCGUUGUUCGGAAUCAUUGGGCGUAAAGGGGUGAGUAGGCGGUUCGGUGUGUCUCUCGUGAAAGCCCACGGCUCAACCGUGGCGUGUCGGGAGAAACUGCCGGACUUGAGGCUGGGAGGGGCUGGUGGAAUUCCCUGUGUAGCGGUGAAAUGCGUAGAGAUGGGGGAGAACACUCGUGGCGAAGGCGGCCAGCUGGUCCAGUUCUGACGCUCAGUCCCGACAGCGUGGGGAGCAAACAGG
rnacentral:rRNA from 1 species